GAUGAAGAACGUAGCGAAAUGCGAUAAGUAAUGUGAAUUGCAGAAUUCAGUGAAUCAUCGAAUCUUUGAACGCACAUUGCGCCCGCCAGCACUCUGGCGGGCAUGCCUGUUCGAGCGUCAUUUCAACCAUCAAGCCCCCAGGGGCUUGUGCUGGGGCCCUGCGGCUGCCCGCAGGCCCUGAAAACCAGUGGCGGGCUCGCUAGUCACACCGAGCGCAGUAGCACAUCUCGCUCAGGGCGUGCGGCGGGCUCCUGCCGUGAAACCCCCCACUGUAACCCCAAAGGUUGACCUCGGAUCAGGUAGGAAUACCCGCUGAAUUUAAGCAUAUCAAUAAGCGGAGGA
rnacentral:misc_RNA from 1 species